rnacentral:rRNA from 1 species
CAAGUCGAACGGAGUUUAGUCGGUGGCAACACCGACGAAGACUUAGUGGCGAACGGGUGAGUAACACGUGAGAAACCUGUCCCGGUCUCUAGGAUAACAGUUGGAAACAGCUGCUAAUACUGGAUGACGUCGGAGCGUCGCAUGGCGCACUGACGAAAGGGUUACUGGAUCGGGAGGGUCUCGCGGCCUAUCAGCUUGUUGGUGGGGUAACGGCCUACCAAGGCAUCGACGGGUAGCUGGUCUGAGAGGAUGAUCAGCCACACUGGGACUGAGACACGGCCCAGACUCCUACGGGAGGCAGCAGUGGGGAAUCUUGCGCAAUGGGCGAAAGCCUGACGCAGCAACGCCGCGUGCGGGAAGAAGGCCUUCGGGUUGUAAACCGCUUUCAGAAGGAACGAAAAUGACGGUACUUUCAGAAGAAGGUGCGGCCAACUACGUGCCAGCAGCCGCGGUGACACGUAGGCACCAAGCGUUGUCCGGAUUUAUUGGGCGUAAAGAGCUCGUAGGCGGUUCGGUAAGUCGGGUGUGAAAUCUUUGGGCUUAACCCAAAGCGUGCAUUCGAUACUGCCAUGACUAGAGUUCGGUAGGGGAGCGGGGAAUUCCUAGUGUAGCGGUGAAAUGCGCAGAUAUUAGGAGGAACACCGGUGGCGAAGGCGCCGCUCUGGGCCGAAACUGACGCUGAGGAGCGAAAGCGUGGGUAGCAAACGGGAUUAGAUACCCUGGUAGUCCACGCCGUAAACGUUGGGCACUAGGUGUGGGUUCCAACCAACGGAAUCCGCGCCGUCGCUAACGCAUUAAGUGCCCCGCCUGGGGAGUACGGCCGCAAGGUUAAAACUCAAAGGAAUUGACGG